CUGGUGACGAAGUCCCGCAACUACAAAGUCUCGCUGCUGGCCCUGGAAGAUAGAACAAGUCAUUUAUGGAAGGAAAAUCGCGUGACCAGAUCGCUAUUCUCUGCUUCUCAUCAAUCAUCAUAUCCUCGUUCUCCGCAAGUAAAUUGGAGGCAGACUCGGGCUCCUGUGCCUGAUUUGCGCCACUUCCGGUUGCUCGUGGAGAUUUAUCAAGCUACCACCAUUGUAGUCGAGACACUUUAGGCUUGUGGUACCGUUUGCGGAAGUCUCAGACGCUAGACUUUUCAAGCUGACGGUGCUUCCGUAAUGGCCAGCGGCACGGAACGGUUUCGAGGGCGUGUGCUUGUCCUUCGUUUCCGCCAAGGACAUUCUUGCGUCGCUGGGAUAGCU